CUCUUUGUAUUCCUGCUUCCCAGAAUAGAAAAGAAAGGGGUUUUUUACGCCCUAAUUAUGAUCUCGCCCAAAUAACCCAAAUUCGACCCAAAAUUCAGUAAUUUUGGUCAUUGAAGAUUAAAGAUGAAGAUCCUUACAGGAUUGAAGACGAAGUUCUGCCAAAAGUCGACUCCAUCAAGCACAAGAUCAUGGUGGUCGAAGCUAAAUGCUAUUAGAGGAAGGGGUGGGAGUACAACUACUGCAGCACCAUCCUCAUCUCAAGCAUCUAUGACAUGGACUCCACCACCACCACCACCAACUUGGAUGGAUCCAGAACUUUCACAAGCACAACCUCCAUCUCAAAAUGCAGCAAUGUCACAAUGUACACAGCAAGACGCCAAUCAACCAAGUCAAAUCAUCUGAAACUAGAGUUGUUGGCCAUGUGAAAUGUUCCUAAUUUGUGUGGUUUAGUACACACUUUUGUAAUUUCCAUGAAUAUGGGAGUACAUAUGUCAUCUUGUUGAACUUGUGGCUGUGCUUCAAGAUGUACAUAGUAUUUUGUCUAUUUUGGACAUGUACACCUACAAAAAUUACAGCUAAAGACCAUGUUUUAGAGUCAACAUGGUAAUUUUGUGAACUUGUGCACUAUGUUUCAUUGUAUACAUGAUAUUUUGCCAUAUUUUGGAUCAUGUACACCAAUAAACACUUUCAACUGUAAAGGAUAAUGUUCAAGACAACGUUUCAAUUUGUUUGUGGUGUUUUUAUGUAAUUUGGACACCUUGUACCAUGUCUCUAUGCAAUGAAAAAUCUAUAAGUAUUGGUA